rnacentral:lncRNA from 1 species
CUUACACAUUAUUUUAUUUAAUAUUCACAAAAACCAUAUGAUGCUGGUACUAUCCCUGUUCUACAGACAAAGAAGCAGAGGCUUAGAUCUUGACUGAAGUCAUUUAGCUACAGAAUGCCUGGGAUUCAAACUCAAGUCUGCUGAUGCCAUAGCCCUUACACUUUCCACUGGGCAAUAUUUGCUUAGAAAGAUAUUGAAAUAAUCUUUUGCAUCUUUGCAGCCACCCUCUGAGGUGGAUAAGAACACUGAAAGGUUGAUAAUCUCAUUCCCAGCAAAGGCCAAGGCAGGAGUAACUGAACUCUAGGCCCCUGUCUUCCAGUCUGCACUGCCCGUGACUCUGAACUGGAAUAAAUGGGGAACUCGUUGUGUUACUUGUUUUGAUUCAUCUUUUUUAAAUUUGCAGUUUCCAAGAACCAUGGAGAUUUUGAGUCGUCCCACUUCCCCUUCCCAAUGGGACGCCGUACAGAGCCUCACAUCAUCCUACCAGUGUUUACCUGACGUUGACCCACCAGAGAGUCUACGCAUUCUCAGUUGCCCGGGACUCCCAGGUUGAAGAUCAUGAGCAUGCCCUGAUGAGCCAAGGCAUGCAACCACAGGGGAACCUAAGUGCUUGGACUGAGGAGUGGGGACUGAAAUAAGAAGCGGACACUGCAGGGCAGGAUCAGGAUCCAAUCAGAUCGAGCCCUGGCAUCACCUCAUGGCAGGAUCUAGUCAGAUCGUGGCUUUUGACAUCACUUCAUUGUGAAAUCCAAUCAGAUCACACCUUAUUACCCUAUCCUUAUAAAACCGGACCUAGCCCCCAGCUCGAGGAGGCACUGCUUUGGGAGUUAUCCCAGGUGUUCUUGUUACUAGUUGCAAGGAAUAAAAUCCUCUUGCUAAAUCCUCCUUGGUUGUGCAGAUGUUGGCAUGGAUGUGGAGAGAAGGGAACACUUACGCUUUGUUGGUGAGGAUGUAAAUUAGCUCAACUCUGUGAUAAACAGUAUGGAGAGUUUUCAAAGAACUAAAAAUAGAACUUCUACUCAACCCAGCAAUCCUAUGAGUGCAUGAGUGGGUAUCUACCCAAAGGAA